rnacentral:rRNA from 1 species
CCUACGGGUGGCAGCAGUAGGGAAUCUUCCACAAUGGGCGAAAGCCUGAUGGAGCAACGCCGCGUGGGUGAAGAAGGUCUUCGGAUCGUAAAACCCUGUUGUUAGAGAAGAAAGUGCGGGAGAGUAACUGUUCACGUUUCGACGGUAUCUAACCAGAAAGCCACGGCUAACUACGUGCCAGCAGCCGCGGUAAUACGUAGGUGGCAAGCGUUUUCCGGAUUUAUGGGGCGUAAAGGGAACGCAGGCGGGCUUUUAAGUCUGAUGUGAAAGCCUUCGGCUUAACCGGAGUAGUGCAUUGGAAACUGGGAGACUUGAGUGCAGAAGAGGAGAGUGGAACUCCAUGUGUAGCGGUGAAAUGCGUAGAUAUAUAGAAGAACACCAGUGGCGAAAGCGGCUUUCUGGUCUGUAACUGACGCUGAGGUUCGAAAGCGUGGGUAGCAAACAGGAUUAGAUACCCCAGUAGUC